rnacentral:lncRNA from 1 species
UGGAGGAACUAAAUUUCUGGAUUUAAAAGCAGAGGGAUUAAUUUUUAAAAGUUCAAAGAGUACAAGGAUUGGAGGCAAAACUAGACCAUCAUUUUGCAAAUGUAGAUGUAAUACCCAAAUUUUUCCCGGCCCGAGCCCAACUAUUAAAACCCAAAUAUGAAAAAAUAUAUAAAAUAAAUAAUAAAAUGUCCAAUUUUUCAUUACACCAGCAGGCCCAAAAUAGCCCAAUCCAAAUUUCCUAAUAUUCAACCUAGUCAGCCCAAUACACCACCUAAUCACAUACCAGAAAUUAAAUAAUAAAACCCAAAAUACAUUACCCAAGCCCAAACCCGAAUACAUCAAGCCCAAACAACCCAAAAUCAGAAACCCUAGUGGUUUCUAGACUAAUUUGGUGAAGCCGCAGCAGACCCCUGCUUCAGCGCCGUAGAUGAAUCCAACAAACCUCGCGCGUGCAUCGCCACUAGGCGCGUGCAUCAUCUCCACACAGAUGCGCCUCCAGGCUGGCCGAGUACCUACAAGUAAACACACGAAAACGAGAGCAAAAGAAAAUAACAGAAUAACAAGGACGGGGCAAUUUUCCUUUUAUUUAUUUUUAUUUUCUUUUCCUCUGUAAAAAAUUCAGGCUAUAAAAAAGCCAAGAAUAGACUGUAAACAGUCCGCAUUCAGAGAAAUUGAAUACAAAAAAACUCAUUUUCAGAGAAAAGAAAAAUUCGAAAGGUGAUAAUUAAUCUUUUCUUUGUUAUUUUUUUUCUGCUCCGUUGUUCAUUGAUUAAUAUUGAAGUAGAAAAGAAAAAAGAGCGAGGAACUUACCUGACCGUCGUUCGCUCCGUCACAAUUGGAGCUGGGCGAGGGUUGAAGGUCCCAUAAGCAGUACGUUCCAAAAUGUGGCGUCGAGGAUCUGUUCAUCUUAAGUCUCUGCUUUUCUUUUUUUUAGGAAGAAGAGUCUGUUUAAAUUAGGGUUAUUUUAGUUUUUAUGUCUAGCUAGAAACGGCGUCGUUUGAGGCCGGACCUUGUGGUCUCAAAACGGCGUCGUGUGAUGCUGGUAUCCGCGCGGUGACCCGACCCGGGGCAGGAUCCGCGCGUUUUCGUUCGUCGGUCUAUUUGCGAAAUGAGUCCCUCUAUGUUUUAUAUAGUUUCAAUCUAAUUUUCUUCAGUGUUUUUAAUUUGUACCGUAUAUUUAAUUUUGUUUUCAUUUGGAUCCAAGCCUAAACGGCACCGUUUUCUGGGAUUGAUUUUUAUUAUUCAGGUUUUGCGUUUAAUUUCUGAUUUAGUCCUUCAACGUUGAAAUAGGUUUCAAUUUAAUGCAAAUUUAGUUUUCUUUUUUUAAUUCAAUAAUAUUUUUA